CUUACUCCUACGGGAGGCAGCAGUGGGGAAUAUUGGACAAUGGACCAAGAGUCUGAUCCAGCAAUUCUGUGUGCACGAUGAAGUUUUUCGGAAUGUAAAGUGCUUUCAGUUGGGAAGAAAAAAAUGACGGUACCAACAGAAGAAGUGACGGCUAAAUACGUGCCAGCAGCCGCGGUAAUACGUAUGUCACGAGCGUUAUCCGGAUUUAUUGGGCGUAAAGCGCGUCUAGGUGGUUAUGUAAGUCUGAUGUGAAAAUGCAGGGCUCAACUCUGUAUUGCGUUGGAAACUGUAUAACUAGAGUACUGGAGAGGUAAGCGGAACUACAAGUGUAGAGGUGAAAUUCGUAGAUAUUUGUAGGAAUGCCGAUGGGGAAGCCAGCUUACUGGACAGAUACUGACGCUGAAGCGCGAAAGCGUGGG
rnacentral:rRNA from 1 species